rnacentral:lncRNA from 1 species
GGAAGAAGAAGAAGAAGAAGAAGAAGAAGAAGAAUAAGAAUAAGAAGAAGAAGAGGAGAAGAAAAGAAGAAGAAGAAGAAGAAGAAGAAGAAGAAGAAGAAGAAUAAGAAGAAGACAAAGAAGAAGAAGAAGAAGAAUAAGAAGAAUAAGAAAAAGAGGAGAAGAGGAGAAGAAGAGGAAAAACAAAAAAAGAUGAGAAAGAAGAAGAAAAGGAGG